rnacentral:rRNA from 2 species
CUUAACACAUGCAAGUCGAACGAGACCUUCGGGUCUAGUGGCGCACGGGUGCGUAACGCGUGGGAAUCUGCCCUUAGGUACGGAAUAACUCAGAGAAAUUUGUGCUAAUACCGUAUGAUGUCGAAAGACCAAAGAUUUAUCGCCUAAGGAUGAGCCCGCGUAAGAUUAGCUUGUUGGUGAGGUAAAAGCUCACCAAGGCGACGAUCUUUAGCUGGUCUGAGAGGAUGAUCAGCCACACUGGGACUGAGACACGGCCCAGACUCC